GACGAACGCUGGCGGCGUGCUUAACACAUGAAAGUCGAACGAAGUGGCGAACGGGUGAGUAACGCGUCAUCAACCUGCCCUUCAGAGGGGACAACAGUUGGAAACGACUGCUAAUACCGCAUACUGAAGGCGGGGAUUGCGUCUGAUUAGCUAGUUGGAGGGGUAACGGACCACCAAGGCGAUGAUCAGUAGGCGGUCGGAGAGGAUGAACGGCCACAAUGGGACUGAGACAAGGCCCAGAAUGCUACGGGGGGCAGCAGUGGGGAAUCUUCCGAAAUGGACGAAAGUCUGACGGAGCAACUCCGCGUGAGUGAUGACGGCCUUCGGGUUGUAAAGCUCUGUUAAUCUGGACGCGGUACCGGAAUAGAAAGCCACGGCUAACUACGUGCCAGCAGCCGCGGUAAUUC
rnacentral:rRNA from 1 species